rnacentral:rRNA from 1 species
GAUCAUGGCUCAGGAUGAACGCUAGCUACAGGCUUAACACAUGCAAGUCGAGGGGAAACGAUAGAGAAAGCUUGCUUUUUCUAGGCGUCGACCGGCGCACGGGUGAGUAACGCGUAUCCAACCUGCCCACCACUUGGGGGAUAACCCUUGCGAAAGUAAGACUAAUACCCAAUGAUAUCUCUAGAAGACAUCUGAAAGGGAUUAAAGAUUUUAUCGGUGAUGGAUGGGAAUGCGUCUGAUUAG